AGUUCACACCGUGGUUGGCAUGGCUGAAUUCACCUUGGAUGACUUCCCUCAUAAUUUUAGUUCAUGGAGCUUGAUUCGAAGGUCGGCAUUUGGAUAUGCAAGAGUGACAGCUGAUAAGACAAAGCUACUGUUUGAGGUAGAUGAAUUGCGUUCUUGGUUCUUGCAUGUUACUUAUUUAUUUUUCAUUCCAGUACAUUACAACGGACGGACAGUAGCUGACCGAUUUAAAAUUGCCAGGCUAGAUUGGGGAUUUUCCAGGCCAUGAACGAUUUCAAGCUUUACAAGUUCAAUAGUUGGCUUGUAGAGCUUGCUGAUUUACUUGACACUGCCAAGAGCUCUUGCUUUGCUGCACA